rnacentral:snRNA from 1 species
ACCUAGGUGCACGGGCUUUGCGUAUAUCAAUGAGGAUUUAUCUGAGAUUGUGUCUUUGCUGGUUGCAAACUAUUUAGUUGGCUUUUUUGGUUGGUCUUCUGAUUGACUGGAAUCUUUUAAACCUACUGCCUUAA